rnacentral:rRNA from 1 species
GGGAUAGAAUUCCAGGAGUAGCGGUGAAAUGCGUAGAUAUCUGGAGGAAUACCAAAGGCGAAGGCAGUCCCCUGGUCCGAUACUGACACUGAGGUACGAAAGCGUGGGGAGCAAACAGGAUUAGAUACCCUGGUAGUCCACGCCCUAAACGAUGUCGAUUAGCCAUUGGAAGGACCCCUUUUCCUUUCAGUGACGUAGCUAACGCGUUAAAUCGACCGCCUGGGAAGUACGACCGCAAGGUUAAAACUCAAAGGAAUUGACGGGGACCUGAACAAGCGGUGAAUGAUGUGGAUUAAUUCGAUGCUACGCGAAGAACCUUACCUACCUUUGACAUGGCCAAAGUUCUACCGAGAGGCGGAAGUACUCGUAAGAGGAUUGGCGCACAGGUGCUGCAUGGUUGUCGUCAGCUCGUGUCGUGAGAUGUUGGGUUCAGUCCCGCAACGAACGCAACCCUUAUCUUUAAUUGCUCCUAUUUUAACAGGCACUUUAAAGAAACUGCCAAUGAUAAGUUGGAGGAAGGUGGGGAUCACGUCAAGUCCGCAUGGCCUUUAUAGGUAGGGCUUCACACGUCAUACAAUGGUUAGAACAAAGAGCUGCAAAUUCGUAAGAAGGAGCCAAUCUCACAAACCUAACCUCAGUUCGAAUUGCGGUCUGCAACUCGAGCGCAUGAAGCCGGAAUCGCUAGUAAUCGUGGAUCAGAAUGCCACGGUGAAUACGUUCUUAGGUCUU